rnacentral:rRNA from 1 species
UACGUAGGGUCCGAGCGUUGUCCGGAAUUACUGGGCGUAAAGAGCUCGUAGGUGGUUUGUCGCGUUGUUCGUGAAAACUCACAGCUUAACUGUGGGCGUGCGGGCGAUACGGGCAGGCUGGAGUACUGCAGGGGAGACUGGAAUUCCUGGUGUAGCGGUGGAAUGCGCAGAUAUCAGGAGGAACACCGGUGGCGAAGGCGGGUCUCUGGGCAGUAACUGACGCUGAGGAGCGAAAGCGUGGGGAGCGAACAGG